rnacentral:rRNA from 1 species
UACGUAGGGGGCUAGCGUUGUCCGGAAUCAUUGGGCGUAAAGCGCGCGUAGGCGGCCCGGUAAGUCCGCUGUGAAAGUCAAAGGCUCAACCUUUGAAUGUCAGCGGAUACUGCCGGGCUAGAGUCCGGAAGAGGCGAGUGGAAUUCCUGGUGUAGCGGUGGAAUGCGCAGAUAUCAGGAGGAACACCAACGGCGAAGGCAGCUCGCUGGGACGGUACUGACGCUCAGGCACGAAAGCGUGGGGAGCAAAAGGG